CCUACGGGUGGCAGCAGUGAGGAAUAUUGGUCAAUGGGCGGAAGCCUGAACCAGCCAAGUAGCGUGCAGGAUGACGGCCCUACGGGUUGUAAACUGCUUUUAUACGGGAAUAACGCGCCUUACGUGUAGGGCUUUGCAUGUACCGUAUGAAUAAGGACCGGCUAAUUCCGUGCCAGCAGCCGCGGUAAUACGGAAGGUCCGGGCGUUAUCCGGAUUUAUUGGGUUUAAAGGGAGCGUAGGCCGCAUAUCAAGCGUGCUGUGAAAUGUCCGGGCUCAACCCGGGCCUUGCAGCGGAGACUGGCGUGCUUGAGUCCGCGGAAGGCAGGCGGAAUUCGUCGUGUAGCGGUGAAAUGCUGAGAUAUGACGAAGAACCCCGAUUGUGAAGGCAGCUUGCUGCAGCGGAACUGACGCUGAUGGUCGAAAGCGCGGGUAGCGAACAGGAUUAGAUACCCUUGUAGUC
rnacentral:rRNA from 1 species